AUUGAACGCUGGCGGCAUGCCUUACACAUGCAAGUCGAACGGCAGCGCGGACUUCGGUCUGGCGGCGAGUGGCGAACGGGUGAGUAAUGUAUCGGAACGUACCAUUGAGUGGGGGAUAACGUAGCGAAAGUUACGCUAAUACCGCAUAUUCUCUCCGGAGGAAAGCAGGGGACCGCAAGGCCUUGCGCUCUUUGAGCGGCCGAUAUCAGAUUAGCUAGUUGGUGGGGUAAAAGCUCACCAAGGCGACGGUCUGUUGCGGGUCUGAGAGGAUGGUCCGCCACACUGGAACUGAGACACGGUCCAGACUCCUACGGGAGGCAGCAGUGGGGAAUUUUGGACAAUGGGGGCAACCCUGAUCCAGCCAUGCCGCGUGAGUGAAGAAGGCCUUCGGGUUGUAAAGCUCUUCCGGCCGGGAAAAAAUCGCAUGGAUUAAUACUCUGUGUGGAUGAUGGUACCGGAAUAAGAAGCACCGGCUAACUACGUGCCAGCCGCCGCGGUAAUAC
rnacentral:rRNA from 1 species